AGCUUCCAGAUAGCCGAACAUAUGGGUGCUCCUGGAAGGUAGAGUGCCCAGGAAGGACAUGGAGACUCUCUACUCCUUCCCCCAUACCUUGCCCUACACAUCUCUUCAUUGGCACGGUGGCUCACGCCUGUAAUCGCAGCACUUUGGGAGACCAAAGCAGAUGAAUCACCUGAGGUCAAGAGUUCAAGACCAGCCUGGCCAACACGAAAGAAGCUCUCACAGUGGAAGACUAUAAUAUGACAUAAGAAGAAAUGUGGACUUGGAGAUACAGAAGACAGGGUCUCAUUCCUGUUGCUCAGGCUGGAGUACAGUGGCAUGAUCUUGGCUCACUGCAGCUUCGACCUCCCGGGCUCAGGUGAUUCUCCCACCUCAGCCUCCCAAGCAACUGGAACUACCCAGCUAGUCCUACCAUGACCGGUUAGUUUUUUGUAUUUUUAAUAGAGACAUGGUUUCACCACAUUGCCCAGGCUAGUCCUGAACUCCCGGACUCAAGCAGUCCACCCACCUAGGCCUCCUAAAGUGCUAGAAUUACAGGCGUGAGCCACUGUGCCCAGCCUGUUACAUCUACAUUAGAUAUAUACAUAUAUAAUUAUUUAUAUAUUUUAUAUAUGUAAUUAUUUCCUAAUGAAAUAACAGACAACAUGGUAAUCAAACAAGGAAAGAAAGAAGUAUAUGUGAAAGUAUAAAAACCCUCAGAAAACACAUCAGAUGAGUCAGUAAAACUAGUUGUGAAUAGUCACACAUGCCUGUAAUCCCAGCUACUUGGAAGGCUGAGGUAGGAGGAUUGCUUGAGCUCAGGAGUUUGAGACCAGCCUGGGCAACACGCAUGACACCAUCUCAAGAAAAAAAAAAUUGUUGUGGAAUACC
rnacentral:lncRNA from 1 species